GAUGAACGCUAGCGGCAGGCUUAACACAUGCAAGUCGAGGGGUAUAGGCUUUCGGGCCUAGAGACCGGCGCACGGGUGCGUAACGCGUAUGCAAUCUGCCUUACACUAAGGGAUAGCCCAGAGAAAUUUGGAUUAAUACCUUAUGGUAUAUUGAUGUGGCAUCACAUUAUUAUUAAAGAUUUAUCGGUGUAAGAUGAGCAUGCGUCCCAUUAGCUAGUUGGUGUGGUAACGGCAUACCAAGGCGAUGAUGGGUAGGGGUUCCUGAGAGGGAGAUCCCCACCACNGUGNCUGAGACACGGACCAGACUCCUACGGGAGGCAGCAGUGAGGAAUAUUGGACAAUGGGCCGCAAGCCUGAUCCAGCCAUGCCGCGUGCAGGAUGACGGUCCUAUGGAUUGUAAACUGCUUUUUGUACGGGAAGAACACUCCAACGUGUUGGAGCUUGACGGUACCGUAAGAAUAAGGAUCGGCUAACUCCGUGCCAGCAGCCGCGGUAAUACGGA
rnacentral:rRNA from 1 species